GCGGCCGUAGCCCAAUUGGCAGGAGGCACAGGUUUUAGGUACCUGACAGUGUGAGUUCGAGUCUCACCGGCCGCACCA
rnacentral:tRNA from 1 species